UUUUAGAGUUUGGAUCUGGCUCAGGACGAACGCUGGCGGCGUGCCUAAUACAUGCAAGUCGAGCGAAUCGAUGGGAGCUUGCUCCCUGAGAUUAGCGGCGGACGGGUGAGUAACACGUGGGCAACCUGCCUAUAAGACUGGGAUAACUUCGGGAAACCGGAGCUAAUACCGGAUACGUUCUUUUCUCGCAUGAGAGAAGAUGGAAAGACGGUUUACGCUGUCACUUAUAGAUGGGCCCGCGGCGCAUUAGCUAGUUGGUGAGGUAAUGGCUCACCAAGGCGACGAUGCGUAGCCGACCUGAGAGGGUGAUCGGCCACACUGGGACUGAGACACGGCCCAGACUCCUACGGGAGGCAGCAGUAGGGAAUCUUCCGCAAUGGACGAAAGUCUGACGGAGCAACGCCGCGUGAACGAAGAAGGCCUUCGGGUCGUAAAGUUCUGUUGUUAGGGAAGAACAAGUACCAGAGUAACUGCUGGUACCUUGACGGUACCUAACCAGAAAGCCACGGCUAACUACGUGCCAGCAGCCGCGGUAAUACGUAGGUGGCAAGCGUUGUCCGGAAUUAUUGGGCGUAAAGCGCGCGCAGGUGGUUCCUUAAGUCUGAUGUGAAAGCCCACGGCUCAACCGUGGAGGGUCAUUGGAAACUGGGGAACUUGAGUGCAGAAGAGGAAAGUGGAAUUCCAAGUGUAGCGGUGAAAUGCGUAGAGAUUUGGAGGAACACCAGUGGCGAAGGCGACUUUCUGGUCUGUAACUGACACUGAGGCGCGAAAGCGUGGGGAGCAAACAGGAUUAGAUACCCUGGUAGUCCACGCCGUAAACGAUGAGUGCUAAGUGUUAGAGGGUUUCCGCCCUUUAGUGCUGCAGCUAACGCAUUAAGCACUCCGCCUGGGGAGUACGGCCGCAAGGCUGAAACUCAAAGGAAUUGACGGGGGCCCGCACAAGCGGUGGAGCAUGUGGUUUAAUUCGAAGCAACGCGAAGAACCUUACCAGGUCUUGACAUCCUCUGACAACCCUAGAGAUAGGGCUUUCCCCUUCGGGGGACAGAGUGACAGGUGGUGCAUGGUUGUCGUCAGCUCGUGUCGUGAGAUGUUGGGUUAAGUCCCGCAACGAGCGCAACCCUUGAUCUUAGUUGCCAGCAUUCAGUUGGGCACUCUAAGGUGACUGCCGGUGACAAACCGGAGGAAGGUGGGGAUGACGUCAAAUCAUCAUGCCCCUUAUGACCUGGGCUACACACGUGCUACAAUGGAUGGUACAAAGGGCUGCAAACCUGCGAAGGUAAGCGAAUCCCAUAAAGCCAUUCUCAGUUCGGAUUGCAGGCUGCAACUCGCCUGCAUGAAGCCGGAAUCGCUAGUAAUCGCGGAUCAGCAUGCCGCGGUGGAAUACGUUUCCCGGGCCUUGUACACACCGCCCCGUCACACCACGAGAGUUUGUAACACCCGAAGUCGGUGAGGUAACCUUCAUGGAGCCAGCCGCCUAAGGUGGGGACAGAUGAUUGGGGGUGAAGUCGUAACAGGGGUAACCCGUAA
rnacentral:rRNA from 2 species